GUCUCCGUUGGUGAACCAGCGGAGGGAUCAUUAC
rnacentral:rRNA from 1 species